rnacentral:rRNA from 1 species
UACGUAGGUGGCAAGCGUUGUCCGGAAUUACUGGGUGUAAAGGGAGCGUAGGCGGGGCUGCAAGUCAGAAGUGAAAAUCAUAGGCUCAACUUAUGACCUGCUUUUGAAACUGUAGCUCUUAAGUGAAGUAGAGGCAAGCGGAAUUCCCAGUGUAGCGGUGAAACGCGUAGAUAUUGGGAGGAACACCAGUGGCGAAGGCGGCUUGCUGGGCUUUUACUGACGCUGAGGCUCGAAAGCGUGGGGAGCAAAC